CUCGAGGACCAAACUUCUGGAAUAAAAGGGAAUCAUGACAUGUCACACGUCAUGUGUCCUUAGUGGUCAUGGUGGUAGGAGUGAGUUUGUGCAGUGUUUCAGCUAAAAACCCUGCACAUACUGAGUAAUUGGUAAUUGUGUGCAUACUUUGUCAGACAUGAUAAUCUUACCCUUACAGAAUUGGUUCCCCUUUCCAUCCUGUAGGUAUUCUCUCCACUGCU